CAAGAAAUAGUUUAAAUAGAAUAUUAAUUUUGGGGAUUAAAGAUAUUAAGAUUAAUUUUCUUGA
rnacentral:tRNA from 1 species